rnacentral:rRNA from 2 species
AAAUUGAAGAGUUUGAUCAUGGCUCAGAUUGAACGCUGGCGGCAGGCCUAACACAUGCAAGUCGAGCGGUAGCACAGAGAGCUUGCUCUCGGGUGACGAGCGGCGGACGGGUGAGUAAUGUCUGGGAAACUGCCUGAUGGAGGGGGAUAACUACUGGAAACGGUAGCUAAUAC